GACGUAGGGCGCGAGCGUUGUCCGGAUUUAUUGGGCGUAAAGAGCUCGUAGGCGGCUUGUCGCGUCGACUGUGAAAGCCCGCGGCUCAACCGCGGGUCUGCAGUCGGAUACGGGCAGGCUAGAGUUCGGUAGGGGAGACUGGAAUUCCUGGUGUAGCGGUGAAAUGCGCAGAUAUCAGGAGGAACACCCGAUGGCGAAGGCAGGUC
rnacentral:rRNA from 1 species